UUAUGUGCUCGUUCUGGGUAAAUAGAGUUUCUAGCAUUUAUGUUAGUUACUUGUUCCCCGGAUAGUUUAGUUACGUAGCCAAUUGUGGAACUUUCUUGCUAAAAUUUUUAAGAAUACUAUUUGGGUUAAACCAAUUAGUUCUUAUUAAUUAUAACGAUUAUCAAUUAACAAUCAAUUCAGAACUGGCACGGACUUGGGGAAUCCGACUGUCUAAUUAAAACAAAGCAUUGUGAUGGCCCUAGCGGGUGUUGACACAAUGUGAUUUCUGCCCAGUGCUCUGAAUGUCAAAGUGAAGAAAUUCAAGUAAGCGCGGGUCAACGGCGGGAGUAACUAUGACUCUCUUAAGGUAGCCAAAUGCCUCGUCAUCUAAUUAGUGACGCGCAUGAAUGGAUUAACGAGAUUCCUACUGUCCCUAUCUACUAUCUAGCGAAACCACAGCCAAGGGAACGGGCUUGGAAUAAUUAGCGGGGAAAGAAGACCCUUUUGAGCUUGACUCUAAUCUGGCAGUGUAAGGAGACAUAAGAGGUGUAGAAUAAGUGGGAGAUAUUAGACCUCGGUUUGGUAUCGUCAAUGAAAUACCACUACUCUUAUUGUUUCCUUACUUACUUGAUUAAAUGGAACGUGUAUCAUUUCCUAGCCAUUAUACGGAUAUAUUUAUUAUAUCUUAUGGUAUUGGGUUUUGAUGCAAGCUUCUUGAUCAAAGUAUCACGAGUUUGUUAUAUAAUCGCAAACAAAUUCUUUAAUAAAACGAUGCAUUUAUGUAUUUUUGAUUUGAAAAUUUGGUAUAACUCCAAUUACUCAGGUAUGAUCCAAUUCAAGGACAUUGCCAGGUAGGGAGUUUGACUGGGGCGGUACAUCUCUCAAAUAAUAACGGAGGUGUCCCAAGGCCAGCUCAGUGCGGACAGAAACCACACAUAGAGCAAAAGGGCAAAUGCUGACUUGAUCUCGGUGUUCAGUACACACAGGGACAGCAAAAGCUCGGCCUAUCGAUCCUUUUGGUUUAAAGAGUUUUUAACAAGAGGUGUCAGAAAAGUUACCAUAGGGAUAACUGGCUUGUGGCGGCCAAGCGUUCAUAGCGACGUCGCUUUUUGAUCCUUCGAUGUCGGCUCUUCCUAUCAUUGUGAAGCAAAAUUCACCAAGCGUUGGAUUGUUCACCCAUGCAAGGGAACGUGAGCUGGGUUUAGACCGUCGUGAGACAGGUUAGUUUUACCCUACUAAUGACAAAACGUUGUUGCGACAGCAUUCCUGCGUAGUACGAGAGGAACCGCAGGUACGGACCAAUGGCACAAUACUUGUUCGAGCGAACAGUGGUAUGACGCUACGUCCGUUGGAUUAUGCCUGAACGCCUCUAAGGUCGUAUCCGUGCUGGACUGCAAUGAUAAAUAAGGGGCAAUUUGCAUUGUCUGGCUUCUAAACCAUUUAAAGUUUAUAAUUUACUUUAUAAACGACAAUGGAUGUGAUGCCAAUGUAAUUUGU
rnacentral:rRNA from 1 species